rnacentral:rRNA from 1 species
UACGAAGGGGGCUAGCGUUGCUCGGAAUCACUGGGCGUAAAGCGCACGUAGGCGGAUCGUUAAGUCAGGGGUGAAAUCCUGGAGCUCAACUCCAGAACUGCCCUUGAUACUGGCGACCUUGAGUUCGGGAGAGGUGAGUGGAACUGCGAGUGUAGAGGUGAAAUUCGUAGAUAUUCGCAAGAACACCAGUGGCGAAGGCGGCUCACUGGCCCGACACUGACGCUGAGGUGCGAAAGCGUGGGGAGCAAACAGG